rnacentral:rRNA from 1 species
GACGAACGCUGGCGGCGUGCCUAAUACAUGCAAGUAGAACGCUGAAGGAGGAGCUUGCUUCUCUGGAUGAGUUGCGAACGGGUGAGUAACGCGUAGGUAACCUGCCUGGUAGCGGGGGAUAACUAUUGGAAACGAUAGCUAAUACCGCAUAAUAGUAGAUGUUGCAUGACAUUUGCUUAAAAGGUGCAAUUGCAUCACUACCAGAUGGACCUGCGUUGUAUUAGCUAGUUGGUGAGGUAACGGCUCACCAAGGCAACGAUACAUAGCCGACCUGAGAGGGUGAUCGGCCACACUGGGACUGAGACACGGCCCAGACUCCUACGGGAGGCAGCAGUAGGGAAUCUUCGGCAAUGGACGGAAGUCUGACCGAGCAACGCCGCAUGAGUGAAGAAGGUUUUCGGAUCGUAAAGCUCUGUUGUAAGAGAAGAACGAGUGUGAGAGUGGAAAGUUCACACUGUGACGGUAUCUUACCAGAAAGGGACGGCUAACUACGUG